GUAUGUUUACGGUUUGAUGUCAUUUUUACAGUAUUGUUCUGGUAACCACAGCUGCCGGUAUUUUUCCGUAGAAACAACGGGAUUUUUUUUACAGUGUGGUAAAACUCAUUCACUGAUCAAAUCUACAUGGGUUUCUUGCUUUUCUAGGUUUCUAGGCUAAAAUAAGUUUGCAUCUUUUUCUGUGUUCAGUUCCUGAUGUCUCUCUUGAAGAUCCUCAUGUUCCUGUUUCUGUCACUGAACCAAAACCAGUUGUGACCACUAAAGCUUUUGAGAGAAACAGGUUUCCAAAACCAGCAACUGUGAGAACAGACACCGGCACUGAGAAGAACACAUGCCACAUGAUGGAGUGUUUCUGUCUGUCACAGAAUUAGAGAUCACAGGCUGUUCUCCACAUUGAUCUGAAGGACUUUUGUGUCUAGAUAAAUAACAGGUUCAGUGAAAAACCCUUCAGAUUUGUAUUUGUUACUGUUAAGGUUAGCAGUUAGCAAACUUUUGUUUUGCAGUAGGAAGUCCUCAUUGCAGUUUAUUCUAGUCAGGAACCACCCACACAGACAGGAAGUGACAGUCUGAUUGACAUAUAAAGUGACCAAUCAGAGUUCAGCUUGUUUUCAAGUGUCAUUUAGGGGCGGGGUUAUCGGAAAUCACUUACCGCAAUAAUUAAAUAGUAGCACGACAGACUCACAUCAUAGAAACAUAAAAGCAUUCAUUAUUUUGUUUGCAGUACAAAACAGUACAUUAUUUUGUUCACUUUCUGUCUUGUUCGGCAUUAGUUCUCAUUUGUUGCUAUGGUGUCUAAUUAGUAUUCUGUCCAGCCAUGCCUGUUUAGUUCCCUCAUUAUCCAUGUAUAUUUUUACUCCCUGUAUGGUUCAGUCCUUUGUCGGUUAAUGUUUGUUACUAAUGCUCCCUUACUUAUUUUUAUUAUUACUUAUAUACUUAUUUGUUUUUUUUUUUUUUUAUUUCUGCUUGCUUGUGAGGUGACCUUGAGUGUUAUGAAAGGUGCUAUUAAUAAAAUGCAUUAUUAUUAUUAUUAUUAUUAUUAUUAUUAUUCUCUGUGUUCGUCGUUCAUUAAAGACUGUUUGUUUACAACCAGUUCCUUCGUCAUGCACUUUAUAAGCUACAUACUCACAAUGUAAAAAGAAAACUUUGAAAACAACCUUCUUGGAAUGUGAAGUUUUCAUAACAGUGAGACAAAAUGUUUUGAGAACAACAUUUUCAGAGCAUCCUUAUGAUAUAUUUGUACUUGAGGAAUGUUCUCAUAAUGUUGAGAGAAAAUGCCAUUAGAACAACAUUCUUG